AUGAACGCUGGCGGCGUGCUUAACACAUGCAAGUCGAACGAUUAAAGCUCACUUCGGUGAGUGUAUAGAGUGGCGGACGGGUGAGUAACGCGUGGGCAACCUGCCUCAAAGGUUGGGAUAACACCCCGAAAGGGGUGCUAAUACCGAGUGUGCUCUAGGUGCCGCAUGGCAUAUAGAGGAUAGGAGAAAUCCGUUUUGAGAUGGGCCCGCGUCUGAUUAGCUAGUUGGUAGGGUAACGGCCUACCAAGGCGACGAUCAGUAGCCG
rnacentral:rRNA from 1 species